AACACUCGUAGGAUAAAUGAUAUCUUUUAACUGUCUUUUUUAUGAGAGCAAUUCUCAGUCUUUUCUCAAAGCACAUAUCCAUGAUAAAAAUUAAGCGUUUCUCGAUUAGAAAACCGGGUUCUCCACCAUGUCGUGUUGGGAUCGGUAAUUAGGGAAGCGUAAUAAAGGAAACUUUGCAGAAAGUUAUACAGUUCAAAUCACAAAGUAUUUAAUCAUCAGUUGCAGUUGACAAUUCACACUUUGAAGUACAUGAAGAUUCAGAUAUAACAGGAGACGAUGAAUAUAAUAGUUUCGAAGUAUAUUAAAGAUUAAGAUUCGGAGUGAAGUUAAUAUAAUAUUCGAUGGACGUCUAAGUCUUGAAGUCAGUCAGUCUAUCUGGAUGAGUGUGGGUCUAGUAUUCUAUCGUUCGUCUUCUCUAAUAAUCAAGAAGUCUUAUUUAUAUCAUUUGUUUUGGGGGUGUAACUAUUUUAAGAUGGGAGUGAUCUAAACUUGAUCUGAUUGGUCUACAGGUCACUGUCUAUCAAACUUUCUCUGGUAUCAAGGGGGUGUGGUGAUGCUCUGUGCAAGGGACUGGGGCUGGAGUGAGUCAUACUUCUUCCAUGAAGUUAGCUACUUUCUGUACACUCUCCUUGUGCCAAUUUCAAUGUGAUAAUAUCGGGAUCAUAUCAUACUCGGUUUCUAUACAUCAGCAGAUAUUAUAUGACUCGUGUGUGCGCUACUUCUUUUCGACAAGAUCAGAUUGACCUAAUAAACCUUAUCGAGUAAUUUUCCACAGAUCCUACACAAAAAGCAGUCUACUCCCAUCUCCCUAGUUUGUUCCAGAUCGAAUUCACGAUGGUGUCGGCUAGAACUUCAUCUGCCAUUUUCAUUCUAUUAUGUAGUGUGGUACACAGUGCAAUGGCUUAUAGAGUCUAUUACGAUUCUUGGUAUCUCUAUGUCUGGAUCCCUUUUUGUCUAAUUAUUGCGAUUAUCCGGGGCUGCUGCUAUUUCAACUGGAAGCGAGAACCGGAACAACGAAUUGUCUACGUAGAAGGCGUCCCAGCGGAUCAAACUUUUACCCUUUUCAUAAACCUAUCCUCCAAUUAGCCGCCUAAGAGUAAUGUGAAUAAUUCAAUAAAA